AAUACUGGUCGUUUUGAGUUUUUGUUUAUAAAGUUUGAUCAUUCGUCUUAUUCAAAAAAUUAUGAAAUUAUUAUUAUUUUUGUUUGUGACUUGCAUUAUCAUAAGUAUUUUAAGUAUCACUUAUCCUUUUUUAUAUUUGCACUAAUUUUUUAAAUAAGACGAAUAGUCAAACGUUACAAGAAAAAAUUCAAAGCAACAAUUAAU
rnacentral:pre_miRNA from 1 species